AAGUAUCUCAAAUUUGAAUGAAUUGACUGUUCAAGAUUGCACAAGAUUAGUUGAGGUGCAUGAUUCCGUUGGAUAUUUGGAAAAUCUUUCUUGCUUGUAUUUUGAUAGAUGCUUUAAACUCCGAAUUCUUCCAAGAAGCCUGAAGUCGAGAUCUUUAUGCAAUCUUUAUUUUGAUAAUUGCCCAAGCCUUCGUUAUCUUCCUGAAAUCGAGUGUAAAAUGAAAUUUGUAGAUGCAUUGUGGUUAUCUGGCAUCGCAAUAGAAGAACUACCUUUAUCCAUCGGGAACCUCGUUGGACUCCGGUGUUUAUAUCUACAUGAUUGCAAAAACCUUAUGCGUUUCCCAAUUGCUUGCAUUUGGUUGCCACAUUUAAACUAUCUACACAUUCGAGGUCGUCAAAAACUUGUAAAGAAGAUGAGGGAUGAUGGGCUAUCCCAUCUGGCUAUUGAGUCUACAAAAAUGGAAGAGGAGAUAUCAUUACGUGAAGAAUGACUCCAUGAAUUAGGGCCUCCAACGAAUCCAAGCAAUGGGAGCACUGCAUUGUGUUGAAUUUCUUUCCAAUAUCUAGUUUAUUUACCAUGUUUAAAUACUCCACCAGUUUGGAUCAUUUAGAUCUAUCGAUGACUGAAAUUGUUAGCCUUCCCACGAGCAUCAAAGAAUUCGUUACACUAACUGAACUUUGGCUGGAGUAUUGUGAGAAACUUUAAGAAAUACUAGAGCUUCCAUCAAAUAUAAGAGAAGUACAUGUUGAAGGAUGCGAGUCAUUAGAGAGAUUUCUGGAAGUAUCAAAAAUAUUGUAAUUCAAUGGAAGCCAUAUCAGUUCGCUACAUUGGAUUGAUUUGUCCUAUUGCGUCAAAAUGCAUGUGAAUAUAUGGAAUGAUAAAGUGCAAAAUCCUUUAUUGUGAAAGGGAGUCUGAAUAUGAUGCUUCUUUGUUUCCAGAAAAUCAGAUUCCAUAGUGGUUUAGUUAUAUUCAUGAGUUUUUAAAAGAUAAUGAAAUGGUGAAGGGGCCUAAUAAUUAUGUCAAACCGAGGGGAGAAGAAGAGUGGGCAAUAGAUAUCAAGGGGCCGCACUAUUUGGAGGAGAUAAACGGAAUUGCAUUAUAUCUCCUAAUAUUUUUUAAAGGUGCUUACCGGGGGAUGAGACGUACAACUGUUGAUGUUAAGAUAACCAGUAACAGCUCAAAUCAUGCAUGCCUUACUGAAGGGGUAGAAUUGGUUUAUAAAGAUUGGUUCGGCAAGGGAAAUGGGACUGGAUAUGUUGUAUGGGUGGGGCACUCCAAUUUACAAUCUUUUAAACUACCGGUUUUGGACAAUUUGCAAGUUCAAUUUGAUCUUC